rnacentral:rRNA from 1 species
AGUGAACGCUGGCGGUAGGCCUAACACAUGCAAGUCGAACGGCAGCACAGUAAGAGCUUGCUCUUACGGGUGGCGAGUGGCGGACGGGUGAGGAAUACAUCGGAAUCUACUUUUUCGUGGGGGAUAACGUAGGGAAACUUGCGCUAAUACCGCAUACGACCUACAGGUGAAAGCAGGGGAUCUUCGGACCUUGCGCGAUUGAAUGAGCCGAUGUCGGAUUAGCUAGUUGGCGGGGUAAAGGCCCACCAAGGCGACGAUCCGUAGCUGGUCUGAGAGGAUGAUCAGCCACACUGGAACUGAGACACGGUCCAGACUCCUACGGGAGGCAGCAGUGGGGAAUAUUGGACAAUGGGCGCAAGCCUGAUCCAGCCAUACCGCGUGGGUGAAGAAGGCCUUCGGGUUGUAAAGCCCUUUUGUUGGGAAAGAAAAGCAGCAGGUUAAUACCCCGCUGUUCUGACGGUACCCAAAGAAUAAGCACCGGCUAACUUCGUG